rnacentral:tRNA from 1 species
CCCUGUGGCUCAGUUGGUAGAGCAUGGUGUUUGCAACGCCAGCAUGGUGUGUACAAUGCCAGGGUUGUGGGUUCGAUUCCCACAGGGG